GACGAACGCUGGCGGCGUGCUUAACACAUGCAAGUCGAACGAAGUGGCGAACGGGUGAGUAACGCGUAAUCAACCUGCCCUUCAGAGGGGGACAACAGUUGGAAACGACUGCUAAUACCGCAUACUGAAGGCGGUGAUUGCGUCGGAUUAGCUAGUGGGAGGGGUAACGGCCAACCAAGGCGAUGAUCAGUAGGCUGGCUGAGAGGAUGAACGGCCACAGUGGGACUGAGAAACGGCCCAGACUCCUACGGGAGGAAGCAGUGGGGAAUCGUUCGCAAUGGACGAAAGUCUGACGGAGCAACGCCGCGUGAGUGAUGACGGCCUUCGGGGUGUAAAGCUCUUUUAAGCGGGACGCGGUACCGGAAUAGAAAGCCACGGCUAACUACGUGCCAGCAGCCGCGGUAAUUC
rnacentral:rRNA from 1 species